rnacentral:ncRNA from 2 species
UUCUGGGAGGAUUGACAGAUGGAGGGCUCUUUCGUGAUUCGGUUGGAUGGUAAUGCAUGUGCGUUCUUAGUUGGUGGAGCGAUUUGUCUGGUUAAUUUCGAUAACAAACGAUACUCUAGAUUCUAGCCUAUUAAAUAGGUGCGUGGUUCUCUGCACCUUGCACCCUUCUCAGAGGGACAAGCGGCUCCCAGCCGCACGAAACAGAGCAAUAACAGAUCUGCGAUGCCCUUAGAU